rnacentral:rRNA from 1 species
AUUGAACGCUGGCGGCAGGCCUAACACAUGCAAGUCGAGCGCGAAAAUUCCUUCGGGGAUGAGUAGAGCGGCGGACGGGUGAGUAACGCGUAGGAAUCUGCCCGGUAGUGGGGGACAACAGUCGGAAACGACUGCUAAUACCGCAUACGCCCUAAGGGGGAAAGCAGGGGAUCUUCGGACCUUGCGCUAUCGGAUGAGCCUGCGUCGGAUUAGCUUGUUGGUGGGGUAAUGGCCUACCAAGGCGACGAUCCGUAGCUGGUCUGAGAGGAUGAUCAGCCACACUGGGACUGAGACACGGCCCAGACUCCUACGGGAGGCAGCAGUGGGGAAUAUUGGACAAUGGGGGAAACCCUGAUCCAGCCAUGCCGCGUGUGUGAAGAAGGCCU